rnacentral:tRNA from 1 species
GGUGAGGUAACCAAGUGGCUAAAGGGUGCAGACUGUAAAUCUGUCGAGAUUUCUCUUCGUGGGUUCGAAUCCCUCCCUCACCACCA